ACUCCUACGGGAGGCAGCAGUGGGGAAUAUUGCACAAUGGGGGAAACCCUGAUGCAGCCAUGCCGCGUGUGUGAAGAAGGCCUUCGGGUUGUAAAGCACUUUCAGCGAGGAGGAAAGGGUGUGUGCUAAUACCAUACAUUCNGUUGACGUUACUCGCAGAAGAAGCACCGGCUAACUCCGUGCCAGCAGCCGCGGUAAUACGGAGGGUGCGAGCGUUAAUCGGAAUUACUGGGCGUAAAGCGCAUGCAGGCGGCCUGUUAAGUCAGAUGUGAAAGCCCGGGGCUUAACCUCGGAAUUGCAUUUGAAACUGGCAAGGCUAGAGUCUUGUAGAGGGGGGUAGAAUUUCAGGUGUAGCGGUGAAAUGCGUAGAGAUCUGAAGGAAUACCAGUGGCGAAGGCCGCCCCUGGACAAAGACUGACGCUCAGAUGCGAAAGCGUGGGGAGC
rnacentral:rRNA from 1 species